rnacentral:lncRNA from 1 species
GGCGGAGCCUAUCUCUCAUCAGGACCAGUCUGACUGCACCUGCAUCCUUAGCUCAGAGCAUCCCUGGAGCAUCUAAGAGGAAAGCGCAGCUAGCAACCAGGGAUCGUACUGCAGGGGCAAUCGGUCAUGCACCUUCCCCUCCCCUGAUCUGGAGGUCUACAGCCGCGGCCUCGGUACUGACCGAGAUUCCCAAAGUUGUCUGACCUCUGCAAAAGUGUUUCUAUCAACAGCCUCUGAUUACAACAUGGCUGAGAUCACAAAUAUACGCCCCAGCUUUGGGGUGUGCUGGAGAGCUUCGCGUACCUACAAGGAAUACUUGCACUGGUCAGCAUCCUUCUGUGGGCCUGCAAUCCUAACCGACAAGGGCACAGAAGGCAGCUGUGCUCACACGGCUCUGAGAGCUCCCUUCACAGGCACUCCUCUGACCCAAGGAGUAACAACACACAGAACAAGCAGCAAGGCACAACUCCUUUCCUCGGAGGGGCAACUGGACAGCCUUUAACCCUUUAAAAACCAGGGACUGAUUUUCACGGGUUCUGACUUCAGCACUGCAUCAUCCAGACACCUCCAGAUCCUAGCAGUGACCUCAAGGUCUCCAAAGAAGAUGAUGGGUCACAGAAGAACUCCACCUGGAACAUGCUUUAACUGUGGCGAGGACAGCUUCUAUGAAACACUGCCCUUCACCUUGCCCACGGCACAGCCUCUACGAACUGAGGACCAAGUGCGAUACUGGGGAGCUGACUGGCCCACUUUGCCUAGACAACAUAGACUGGUCCUCCAAGCCCCUCCUCCACAGGAAGGUCUGUUGGAUCUUUUGGGCCUGAUGGCCAAAGGCUGUCCAUAGAGCUUGAUUGUCAGGUAGCCAGUAAGGAUCUAUUAUGUUUAAUAGACUCAGGACCUACUUGAUGUAUACUUAUUGAAUCACUGUUGGGUUCCGAGCUCCUACUAUGACUCAAACACGUGAGUCUAUUGACUUUUCUGCAAUGUGGAUCUCAAUAGAAAUUACACAGUGGUAAUGCUAACAUAUGUAAAAUUUUAUCUUUUGAUAAACUUAAAAUUCUUGUAAGUUGAAUGGAACUGAUUUGAAUUGUCCUCUCCCAGGUAAAAUAGACUCCAUAUAAAUACUGUCACCCAACA